rnacentral:rRNA from 1 species
AACGAACGCUGGCGGCAGGCUUAACACAUGCAAGUCGAACGCGUGCAGCAAUGCACGAGUGGCGCACGGGUGAGUAACGAGUGGAUAUCUGCCUUUUGGUUCGGAAUAACCCCGGGAAACUGGGGCUAAUACCGGAUGGUUCCUACGGGAUAAAGAUUUAUCGCCAAAAGAUGAGUCCGCGUCCGAUUAGCUAGUUGGUGAGGUAAUGGCUCACCAAGGCGACGAUCGGUAGCUGGUCUGAGAGGACGAUCAGACACACUGGGACUGAGACACGGCCCAGACUCCUACGGGAGGCAGCAGUGGGGAAUAUUGGACAAUGGGGGCAACCCUGAUCCAGCCAUGCCGCGUGAGUGAUGAAGGCCUUCGGGUUGUAAAGCUCUUUUGGCGGGGACGAUGAUGACGGUACCCGCAGAAUAAGCCCCGGCUAACUUCGUG